rnacentral:rRNA from 1 species
UACGGAGGGUGCGAGCGUUGUCCGGAAUCACUGGGCGGAAAGGGCGCGUAGGCGGCCUGAUAAGUAGGGGGUGAAAUCCUGAGGCUUAACCUCAGGGCUGCCUUCUAAACUGUCGGGCUCGAGCACAGUAGAGGCAGGUGGAAUUCCCGGUGUAGCGGUGGAAUGCGUAGAGAUCGGGAAGAACAUCAGUGGCGAAGGCGGCCUGCUGGGCUGUUGCUGACGCUGAGGCGCGGCAGCGUGGGGAGCAAACAGG